AUACGUAGGGGGCGAGCGUUGUCCGGAAUUACUGGGCGUAAAGGGCGCGUAGGCGGUUUUUUAAGUCAGAUGUGAAAACCCAGGGCUUAACUCUGGGCGUGCAUUUGAAACUGGGGGGCUAGAGUGCAGGAGAGGUAAGUGGAAUUCCUAGUGUAGCGGUGAAAUGCGUAGAUAUUAGGAGGAACACCAGUGGCGAAGGCGACUUACUGGACUGUAACUGACGCUGAGGCGCGAAAGCGUGGGGAGCGAACAGGAUUAGAUACCCUGGUAGUCCACGCCGUAAACGAUGGAUACUAGGUGUGGGAGGUAUCGACCCCUUCCGUGCCGCAGUAAACGCAAUAAGUAUCCCGCCUGGGGAGUACGGCCGCAAGGUUGAA
rnacentral:rRNA from 1 species